rnacentral:rRNA from 1 species
AAAUUGAAGAGUUUGAUCAUGGCUCAGAUUGAACGCUGGCGGCAGGCCUAACACAUGCAAGUCGAACGGUAACAGGAAGCGCUUGCUGCUUCGCUGACGAGUGGCGGACGGGUGAGUAAUGUCUGGGAAACUGCCUGAUUGAGGGGGAUAACUACUGGAAACGGUAGCUAAUACCGCAUAACGUCGCAAGACCAAAGAGGGGGACCUUCGGGCCUCUUGCCAUCGGAUGUGCCCAGAUGGGAUUAGCUUGUUGGUGGGGUAACGGCUCACC